UGCGUAGGCGGGCUAAUAAGUCAGUGGUGAAAUAUUCCGGCUCAACCGGGAGACUGCCAUUGAUACUGUUAGUCUUGAGUUCGGCUGAGGUAGGCGGAAUGUGUAAUGUAGCGGUGAAAUGCUUAGAUAUUACACAGAACACCAAUUGCGUAGGCAGCUUACUAGACCGACACUGACGCUGAGGCACGAAGGCGUGGGUAGCGAACAGGAUUAGAUACCCUGGUAGUCC
rnacentral:rRNA from 1 species